UGUUUGUGAGUCAGCCAAGGGAACCCAGCACAUUUCCCAGGGGAAAAGGCUCAGGAGAAAGACAGGCCAACCACUAAUGAGGCAUUCCCAGGAAACACAGAAGGGAGGGAGAUCUAAGUGGAGCAGCUGGAAACCAAGGGCCAGAUUUUUAACACAGUUCGGAAACAGAUGAGCGUUUAACCUCCUGAGACCAAACAUAUGUUACUAUGAAGUAGCAAACUUGCGUGUUUGUUGCCCAUUUCAUGGCUGGAAGCUGAAGAUGUUUUGGCAUCAGUAGUUAAAGUUUGAUAAAGCUUCCUGAGCUCAGCAUGUCCCGCUGUUGUUCGGGAGAGAUACCGGCUCAGCUGGCUGCUUUUCCAGGCAGCACUGCUCUCCCCAGGCCUCCCCCUGCAGACACCAACUUCUGUGUGAUAAGGAGAAGUUUUUAGCUCUGAACACUCAUCAAAAACACCACUCCUCCGGACUCAGUGAAGCAGAAAACCAAAAGUUAGUCUUGAGUGGUUGGGGAAAAUCCUGAAAGUUGGCGGAGGUGGUCUCCGGAUGAUCCAGCCCGGUUUUUCCAGGACGAGGGAGCAAAGAGCUGGCAAGUGCAGAAUCUAAAAGUUCAGCAAUGUUACCACACGCUGAGAUGUGAAAAGUGCAUUUACAGGAUUAUUUUUUGCGUUGGAGGGAAAAGAAAUGAAGCAUUUUCUUCUGUAUAAAGAAAUGUCUUGGACACGAGGAAAAAAGGAUUAUUUCGAUCCCUGUGUUACUGAUUUGCUAU